rnacentral:tRNA from 1 species
CGGGGAGUAGCGCAGUUUGGUAGCGCACCUGAAUGGGGUUCAGGGGGUCGCAGGUUCAAAUCCUGUCUCCCCGACCA